UGAUUCUGUAAAAAGUGGAGGAACUUAUGAAAGUCAUGAAACUGGUGGUUUAUUAGUAAGAGGAACAUAAUUCAAUCUUCAGGUACAGUGAAUAAGCUUAUUUUGCAACCUGGUGGUGAAAAGUACUUCCUUCUUUUAACACUGUUUUGUCUCACAACCUGCUUGAUUUUUGUAUGCAGAAACAGAUCGAGAAGAAGCUGAAUUUUUGCAAGCUGGCAACAUAAAAUCAUCAUUGUAAUUCAGAUAAACAUUGAUUAGUGUUAGAUUGCUCCAUUUCACACGUAUCAAGCAAGUAGUAUCACUCAGGUACUGUCUCCUUCCCAAUUGAGCAGCACCAUUAUUCAUUGUUCAUUCAACUUUUGUUCACCUUUAUAAUAACAAACAGGAGAAAGAAGUAGCAUCAUCAUCUUUACCAAUGAACAACUAGUUGGAGAAAAU
rnacentral:lncRNA from 1 species